rnacentral:rRNA from 1 species
UACGAAGUGGGCUAGCGGUGAUCGGACUAACCGGGCGUAAAGGGCACGAGGACGGAUUUGCAAGUCAGGGGUGAAAUCCCGGGGCUCAACCUCGGAACUGCCUUUGAUACUGCAAGUCUAGAGUCCGGAAGAGGUGAGUGGAAUUCCUAGUGUAGAGGUGAAAUUCGUAGACAGUAGGAAGAACACCAGUGGCGAAGGCGGCUCACUGGUCCGGAACUGACGCUGAGGAGUGAGAGCGUGGGCAGACAGUAGG